UACAGAGGUCCCAAGCGUUUGUUCGGAUUCAUUGGGCGUAAAGGGUGUGUAGGUGGCGCCGUAAGUCGGGUGUGAAAUCUCGGGGCUUAACUCCGAAACUGCAUUCGAUACUGCGGUGCUUGAGGACUGGAGAGGAGACUGGAAUUCAUGGUGUAGCGGUGAAAUGCGUAGAUAUCAUGAAGGAAGACCAGUGGCGAAGGCGGGUCUCUGGACAGUUCCUGACGCUGAGGCACGAAGGUCAGGGGAGCAAACGGG
rnacentral:rRNA from 1 species